rnacentral:rRNA from 1 species
UACGUAGGGUGCGAGCGUUAAUCGGAAUACUGGGCGUAAAGCGUGCGCAGGCGGUCCUUCAAGUCAGAGGUGAAAGCCCAGAGCUCAACUCUGGAACUGCCUUUGAUACUGGGGAUCUCGAGUUCGGGAGAGGUGAGUGGAACUGCGAGUGUAGAGGUGAAAUUCGUAGAUAUUCGCAAGAACACCAGUGGCGAAGGCGGCUCACUGGCCCGAGUACUGCGCUGAGGUGACGAAAGCGUGGGGAGCAAACAGG